rnacentral:rRNA from 1 species
GAUGAACGCUGGCGGCGUGCCUAAUACAUGCCAGUCGAGCGAACAGAUGAGGAGCUUGCUCCUCUGACGUUAGCGGCGGACGGGUGAGUAACACGUGGAUAACCUACCUAUAAGACUGGGAUAACUUCGGGAAACCGGAGCUAAUACCGGAUAAUAUAUUGAACCGCAUGGUUCAAUAGUGAAAGACGGUUUUGCUGUCACUUAUAGAUGGAUCCGCGCCGCAUUAGCUAGUUGGUAAGGUAACGGCUUACCAAGGCAACGAUGCGUAGCCGACCUGAGAGGGUGAUCGGCCACACUGGAACUGAGACACGGUCCAGACUCCUACGGGAGGCAGCAGUAGGGAAUCUUCCGCAAUGGGCGAAAGCCUGACGGAGCAACGCCGCGUGAGUGAUGAAGGUCUUCGGAUCGUAAAACUCUGUUAUUAGGGAAGAACAAAUGUGUAAGUAACUAUGCACGUCUUGACGGUACCUAAGCAGAAAGCCACGGCUAACUACGU